rnacentral:rRNA from 1 species
AUUGAACGCUGGCGGCAUGCUUUACACAUGCAAGUCGAACGGUAACAGGCCGCAAGGUGCUGACGAGUGGCGAACGGGUGAGUAAUGCAUCGGAACGUGCCCAGUCGUGGGGGAUAACGCAGCGAAAGCUGCGCUAAUACCGCAUACGAUCUAUGGAUGAAAGCGGGGGACCGUAAGGCCUCGCGCGCUUGGAGCGGCCGAUGUCAGAUUAGGUAGUUGGUGGGGUAAAGGCUCACCAAGCCAACGAUCUGUAGCUGGUCUGAGAGGACGAACAGCCACACUGGGACUGAGACACGGCCCAGACGCCUACGGGAGGCAGCAGUGGGGAAUUUUGGACAAUGGGCGCAAGCCUGAUCCAGCAAUGCCGCGUGCAGGAAGAAGGCCUUCGGGUUGUAAACUGCUUUUGUACGGAACGAAACGGUCUUGGUUAAUACCCGGGGCUAAUGACGGUACCGUAAGAAUAAGCACCGGCUAACUACGUGCCAGCCGCCGCCGUAACAC